rnacentral:rRNA from 1 species
GUGAGGAAUUUUCCGCAAUGGGCGAAAGCCUGACGGAGCAAUGCCGCGUGAAGGAUGAAGGCCUAUGGGUUGUAAACUUCUUUUCUCAGAAAAGAAUUAUGACGGUAUCUGAGGAAUAAGCAUCGGCUAACUCUGUGCCAGCAGCCGCGGUAAGACAGAGGAUGCAAGCGUUAUCCGGAAUGAUUGGGCGUAAAGCGUCUGUAGGUUGUUUAAAAAGUAUUCUGUCAAAGAUUAGGGCUUAACCCUAGAUAGGCAGAAUAAACUUUUAAGCUAGAGUUUGGUAGAGGCAGAGGGAAUACCCGGUGGAGCGGUGAAAUGCGUAGAUAUCGGGAGGAACACCAAAGGCGAAGGCACUCUGCUGGGCCAAUACUAACACUGAGAGACGAAAGCGAGGGGAGCAAAUGGGAUUAGAUACCCGUGUAGUCC